UGUCUGCGCUGAAGGAGAAGUGUGAGCAACUCUGGAGCGGCAUGAAGUGAGAAUGUUGGCACAAGUAACCACAAUGCGGGUGAGAUCCCCGCACGCCGUAAGAGCAAGGUUUCCUUUGCGAUGUUGAUCAGCGAAGGGUUAGUCGGGCCUAAGGUUAUAGCGAAAGCUGAAGCCGAUGGACAUAGGGUUAAUAUUCCCUAACUUUUUAUUUGUGCGAUGGAGUGACGAAGGUUAGUAUGUCUUGCGCAUUAUUGGAUUUGCGUUUGUGUCAUCAGUGUGACUCUUAGGUAAAUCCGGGAGUCUGGUUUUAAUACCGACCGCAAGUGAAGCAGAAAUGCAUGGGUUCGCCCAGUGCAGAUAAGGCAAAGCAAUUUUCCGAGAAAAGCUUCUAAGCAUAACAAAUAAAAAACCGUACCUAAAACCGACACAGGUGCUCGAGUCGAGUAGACUAAGGCGAACGAGUGAUUGCUUCUCAAGGAACUCGGCAAAAAAGCAGCCGUAACUUCGGGAUAAGGCUUGCCUCCACCACUUUGUCUUUAAAGACGCAUAGAUAAAAUUACUUCAUUAGCGACGUAGAGCGAGAGAAAUGAAAAGGUAUUUUUUCAUUUCCAAGCCGAGGAGCUAAUAUAAGAGGUAACCCUGCUUUUAUUUGCAUCGUUGAGAAGAAUUUUUUCCUCCACGCAAUGUACACUUGUACAUCUUGGUCGUAAAAAAUUCUCCCCGCCUCGCAACUAAAGCAAUUUAAUCAAUGCUUAUGCAAUAGUGAUGGAGUCCGAAGAAUUGAGUGUAUCGAGACCGUGUUUAGUAUCAGAGCUGAUACUAAACACAAAAAAGUAUUUGAGAAAGUGAGUGAUUGUGGGUUUCGUAGAGGGGGGAUUCUGGAUUUAAAUAGAGAAGAUAAGAUUCGCAAGAAUCAAACGACACUCAGGUGUCAACUUCGUUGGGUGCUACCAUCCACUAUUUCUUUGAAUAAUCUUGUCAGACGGGAAACCGCAUAGACUAAAAGAUCGUAAUUAGAUCGAUUCGAAGGUUAACCAUGAACUCUCUCCAUUCUAUGAAACUCAUAAUCAUAGAUCGUAUCAAAUACAAAAAUGUUGACUAAUUUUUCUAGGACUUAGACAUCAUCUCUCAAAAAUCAUUUCGCAUAUCAUCAGUAAAUUUCUGCUGUGACUUUGAGAAAAAUUUUAUUCGAACCUCGGUUCGAGUCAAAUUUUUCUCUUCGUCUCGCUAGAAAUUUCCCUGAAGCUAAGCGAAGCAUUUUAUGAGAAAUGAUGUAGCACCGCUUUGAAAAUAAAGUGGUGGAGGCCGCAGCGAAAGAUUUCCUGCCAACUGUUUACCAAAAACACAGCUCCAUGCGAACUCGUAAGAGGAUGUAUAUGGGGUGACGCCUGACCAAUGCCAGAAGGUUAAAUACGGGUGGUGCCGAGCACCAUGAAGUUAAGUAGAAUUUCGUUGAAUAUUUUUGUUCAGUGGUUCUAUUUGAAAGCAUGGUGCUCGGUGCUGGCUUGUAUAAGCCCUGGUGAAUGUCGGCCGUAACUAUAACGGUCCUAAGGUUCCCUGCUUAUCAAUGAUGAGCAGGGAAGGACUAGGACUGUUAUAGAAAAAAGUAAACAAUUAAUUUAAAUUCAUUACAUGUUUAAGCUACCUGGCACGCAGUAAUGUGUGUUAGUCCAAUCAUGAUAAACGAGAGACCAACGUCAUGGACCCUACUUUUAAGGAAGAGGGUAAAGAUAGAGUCCAACUGAGAGGAAUAGUUGAGCGUAAUUCCUUGUCUGGUAAGUUCAGACGUGCACGAAUGGCGUAAUGAGUGGGAAACUGUCUCGAGAAGCAGCUCGGUGAAAAUACAAUACCGGUGAAGAUGCCGGUUACCUGCAGAUAGACGAAAAGACCCCGUGAGCUUUACUAUAGCUUAAUAUUGAACAUGUUUUGUUUCUGCGUAGCAUAGGUGGGAGGCUUUGAAGCGACCGUUUCGGUGGUCGUCGAGCCAACAGUGAAAUACCACCCUUAAUUGAGGCAUGUUCUAAUCUGUAAGGAAAAAACUUACGGAGACAGUAUUUGGCGGGUAGUUUGAGUGGGGCGCUCUCCUCCUAAAAGGUAACGGAGGAGUCUAUUAAGGUCCUCUAGGCGCGAAUGGAAACCGUGCCGAUA
rnacentral:rRNA from 1 species